rnacentral:antisense_RNA from 1 species
AGCCCCUGAAGUCCUGAGACCACAACCCUCCACCUUCUAAAGAUAAGACAAGUCACUGAAGGUAAAAUCAGUUCCUCAGUGUCUCCAAGGACAGGAUUGCCAUGGGCUGGGAGGUGCCAUGGGUGAACAGACUUCCCUACUUCCUGCCUCCCCAAGGGUGGGUCUGCAGUCUAGGGGAUGGCUGUGCUCCUGGGCCCAGUGUCUAAGUGAAAAUUAGGUGGAAAUGGAGGGAGGGUGGCGAGCAAGGACAGACUGGCCAAGGUCCCCCGCAGCCACUCCUGAAGUCCUCACUAAGGAGAAGCAGCCUGUCCUCCCAGCCUUCCCCCAGUCCUCCCUAAGAGUGUAUUCUACUGGUUUCUGUGCAGAUUUUUUUUCGGCUGUGACCAAUAGUAGCUUAAACAUGGAUUAUUUUCUUUUUAAUUUCUUCCUGCAAAAUUCUUAGGAAACCGUUAAAAGUAAUAUCCAUGUGAAAUAAUAA